rnacentral:tRNA from 1 species
UGGGGUACAGCUCAGUGGUGGAGCGUGUGCUUAGCAUGCACACGGUCCUAGGUUCAAUCCCCAGUGCCUCCA